GAUGAACGCUGGCGGCGUGCCUAAUACAUGCAAGUCGAGCGAACAGACGAGGAGCUUGCUCCUCUGACGUUAGCGGCGGACGGGUGAGUAACACGUGGAUAACCUACCUAUAAGACUGGGAUAACUUCGGGAAACCGGAGCUAAUACCGGAUAAUAUAUUGAACCGCAUGGUUCAAUAGUGAAAGACGGUUUUGCUGUCACUUAUAGAUGGAUCCGCGCCGCAUUAGCUAGUUGGUAAGGUAACGGCUUACCAAGGCGACGAUGCGUAGCCGACCUGAGAGGGUGAUCGGCCACACUGGAACUGAGACACGGUCCAGACUCCUACGGGAGGCAGGCGUAGGGAAUCUUCCGGAAUGGGCGAAAGCCUGACGGAGCAACGCCGCGGGGGUGAUGAAGGUCUUCGGAUCGUAAAACUCUGUUAUUAGGGAAGAACAAAUGUGUAAGUAACUAUGCACGUCUUGACGGUACCUAAUCAGAAAGCCACGGCUAACUACGUG
rnacentral:rRNA from 1 species